GUCAUAACAGCGACCCCUGCAGGUAGCAACUGAGCUACAUCCAUGACGACUGAGAGAUAUUAAAAUCUCCAAUAUAAAUGAAUAUAAUGACCUUGAGUUACAAUUAGCUGGGGGUGUUAUCAAAUGACUUAAUGAAUAAUGUCCCUUGUCUGGCUUUCUGCUAUUCGCAUAAAAAUGGGUCAUUGUCAGUGAUGUAUUUCCGGGGUACAGGAGCAGAGCUGUCGGGUUAAACAAGAUAGAAACCCCUCUUUCCCCGGAGUUACAGCUCACUUCACCGCCACAUGAAAAUGUAAUUUAUCAGAGCAUCUCUGCAUGUAAACAAAAUAAUUCAUAAAUAGCUGCAUUUACCUGUUAAGUAUAACGUCAAUAUUAUCCGCUGUACGGUCGGUCAGCUGGUAUGCAACACUUCAGAGCGGUACCGGAAGUUGAGGAGGAUUUCGCUCUCGCUUGGCCACACUGCUCUUUGUUGGUGUGAGGCCGACGCCGGCUUCUGGAGGACAGGUCAGACAGACAGACGAACCCAAAACAUGUCAGGGUUGCGGUGUCAUAUGUCGCUGCCCGUGUCGGUGGGGGUCUUGUUGGUGGGCCUCCCUUACUCCAUCUCUCUAGCUGCCCAGUGGCUUUACGGCUGGCCCAGCAAGCCGGGAUACAAGAAGUACAUAGAAGCUCUGAAACCACGACGAAUAUACUGUUUGACCAGAGCUGUGCUGGAGACUCUCAAAUACCUGCAAUAUGGGCGACUUUACUUUCAGUGGAAGUCAUGGUACAAGAAUGAGGAAAACCGCAAGCACUAUGAGAAGGGCAUCACAUUUGGCCGCAGAAACAACAAGCUGGACUUGUACCACCCUCCAAACGUGGACGGGUCAAAGGUGUGCCGGCGCCGCUGGUGGUGUUUCAUCUACGGGGGGAGCGUGGGGCUCCGGAGAUCGAUCCAUUUACUGUUUGAUGGCGAGGCAGAUGGCGAAAGAACUGAGUGCAACUGUCAUUUGUCCUGAUUACUUUGUCUAUCCGAAGGCGAACGUUUUAGGCAUGAUCCAAGAUAUUGUGGACUGCCUCAUUUGGGCCCGAGAGAGUGGACAGAAGUUCAACUUUGAUAAAGACAACAUAGUAUUAAUCGGCCAUUCGGCAGGUGCUCAUUUGUGCACAUUGGCCGCGCUGUUUCUCAUUGACGGACGAGAGGAGCUUUUCAUAGAGGCAAGCAAGCAGGCGGACGUCACAGAGGCCAUAAGAGGAGUCAUUGGUCUGAGUGGCGUGUACAACAUCGUGGACCAUUACGAGCACGAGCAGAAGCGGGGAGUCGAGUACGUCUCCACCAUGCACAAAGCCAUGAAUGGAGUGGAGAACUUCCCGUACUACUCGCCGACACACUUACUGAAGAGGCUGAGCCGGGACAAGCUGGACAGAAUCCCUCCGUUUGCUCUGCUCCACGGGACCGACGACAUCAUCGUCCCCUUCGAUUCCUCCGCAAAGUUCUGCGACCUCCUCACCUCGCUGUCCGUGAAGGUGUCGCUCUACCUGCUCCCCCGCGUCGACCACACCGAGAUCGUCACCGACCUCAUGGUGCCCGACCGCCGCUUCUACCACCCCAUCUACAGCUGCAUCAAGCAGGAGCACAGGAAGCUGCUGGGGGCCUGGUGACGACCCGUCAGGAGAACACCCACCACUCGUCCAUCCAUCACUCGUAUUUACUGAUUGUGCCAUAUACUUGCUUUGUUUACGUCCCAUGCUCUAAUACCUCAACAUGAAUCGUGUUUAGCAUGGAUUUUUACUUGAUUGUGAUUCCGUGAUCAUGAUGUUUUUGAACAGAUUUUAAUUUGGUAAAUCUAAGGGUUACAUGUCAGUGAUUUUUCAUCUACAUUCUUUAAAAAUAAUAUUCCUUGUGGAAUGCAGUGUAGAUAACAUCAUUCUAAUGUUGUGUUGGAGAGAUGUUAGCUAGCUCACAGUAAAGGGAAAUCAAUCCAUAAGUGUUAUAAAAAGGACAGUGAAGCAGACUGAUACAUGCCGUGCAGUGAUACUGAUAAAGGAGCACAGUUACGACAGUACUGACUGCAACAUUUUGUCUAAUUGACUUUGGUGUUUUUAUUCAAUUAAAUUGUAAUAUAUUUUCCUGAAAAAAUAUUUAUUCAUCGUAGACACAUUAAACUCAUUCGAAUUAAACUAAUAUGACUACAAAUUGCUUGCACAAUGGAAUAUUGUACUUAAAUGUUUUGCCCAGCAAAAGCACUUAAAGAUUGUUAAUUGUACAAUUUUACAUUGUUUUUAACAUGUGCUUGUACUUUUGUUUCGGAAAGUUUUGUAUCAGAAGCGUGUCCCAUACAUACCAUACAUUUAAAAUGUCAUCAGGUAAUGGUUGUUGAAAACAUAAAUAUACUUUGUUGCAAUGUAUAAAACUCCAUUAAACCAUAUAAUGUAAGAGAACAUGCACAUCAUGAUUCCAUUCCAUGCAGUCACUGCAUAUGAGCGCCUAAUGGAAGUGAAAAUGGCCAUGGGACAUGUAACCAAAUAUUAGCACUGCUCUAUGUACUGUAUAUUUUUGACCCAGCAGAUGUUGUCACUUUUUCUGUUAUCCCAUAAUAAAGUCAUAAAAGAUCCAA
ensembl:lncRNA